rnacentral:tRNA from 1 species
ACCCCAGCCAGUGGAUGGGUUUCUGGCUACGAACUAGAUCUUCGAGGGUUCGAAUCCUUCCUGGGGUACCA